rnacentral:rRNA from 1 species
UGGGGAAUUUUGGACAAUGGGGGAAACCCUGAUCCAGCCAUCCCGCGUGUGCGAUGAAGGCCUUCGGGUUGUAAAGCACUUUUGGCAGGAAAGAAACGUCGCGGGUUAAUACCCCGCGAAACUGACGGUACCUGCAGAAUAAGCACCGGCUAACUACGUGCCAGCAGCCGCGGUAAUACGUAGGGUGCAAGCGUUAAUCGGAAUUACUGGGCGUAAAGUGUGCGCAGGCGGUUCGGAAAGAAAGAUGUGAAAUCCCAGAGCUUAACUUUGGAACUGCAUUUUUAACUACCGGGCUAGAGUGUGUCAGAGGGAGGUGGAAUUCCGCGUGUAGCAGUGAAAUGCGUAGAUAUGCGGAGGAACACCGAUGGCGAAGGCAGCCUCCUGGGAUAACACUGACGCUCAUGCACGAAAGCGUGGGGAGCAAACAGGAUUAGAUACCCUGGUAGUCCACGCCCUAAACGAUGUCAACUAGCUGUUGGGGCCUUCGGGCCUUGGUAGCGCAGCUAACGCGUGAAGUUGACCGCCUGGGGAGUACGGUCGCAAGAUU